GAGAACACAAUAUAAGCCAUUAAUAAUUAUUUAAUUAACUUCAAUAAUUACCAAAAAAAAGGGCCCAAAAUAACGGCUGACCCAGGUGCCCAGUUGACUGGGCGCCCAGUCGAUUGGGCGCCCAGUCGAUUGGGCACCCAGUUGCCCAGCCCAGUCGACCCAACUGGGCCGUCUGGGCGUCCGGGCCGGCUGGGCGUGCCCAACCAGCAGCCUUCCAUUUCCGACCAUGGAGAUCACCGAAAAACUCUAUUUCCGGCGAUCUACAUUCCUUCCCAAGCAAUAACAACCCAAAUUCCACAUUUACACAAGAAUUUCUCAACAAAUAUAUAUAAAAUCUUACUUUUUUCCAAAAAUAAAAAUAUAAACAUGGUUUUUUUUUGUAUAAAAAUCUUACCUUCUUCAGAGAGAAAUGGCCAACUGAGUCUCCUGUUUUUCCUUAUUUGUCGGUGACUGAGUUGGCUGUGCUACAUUACUUUUCCUUCUUUGCUUCUGCUUCUUUUUCCUUGCAAGUCCUGAGGGUAAAAUUGGGUUUCUCUUUAUUUUUGUUGGUUUUCUAUGUUUUAAAUAAUUUUGCCUUUUUUUUUAACUGGUGAAAGGCCUCUUUGGAAAACUGGCCGGGUCAACUGGCUGUUGGCCACUAAUUCCUCCCUAAAAAAUGUCGAAGUCCAGGUCCACAUGCGUCGACCCGACAAGCCCCUGAUGGGCCGUUUCAUAGAAUUUUGUUGGGUAUGGAUCUAGAGAUGACAAACGAAUCAAAUUGUUAAUCGAUUAAUAGGUUCGGCUUGAUCCGACUCAACACUUGGAAGUCUAGGUUCAUUUUAAGACAAGCCAUGGGUCAAGCCAAGAUCAUUUUGUUGGGUAUGGAUCUAGGGAUAACAAACGAGUCAAGUUGUUUAUCAAUUAACGGAUUCAGCUUCAUCCGACUCAAGCCUUGGAGGUUUGGUUCAUUUUAAGACGAGCCAUGGGUCAAACCAAAGCUCAUUUUCUUUUCACAAGCUAGAUCAUUUUUCUCCUAAUU
rnacentral:lncRNA from 1 species